GCCCGGAUGGUGGAAUCGGUAGACACAAGGGAUUUAAAAUCCCUCGGCCUUCGCGCUGUGCGGGUUCAAGUCCCGCUCCGGGUACCA
rnacentral:tRNA from 1 species